UACGUAGGGGGCGAGCGUUGUCCGGAAUGACUGGGCGUAAAGGGAGCGUAGACGGCGGUGCAAGCCAGAUGUGAAAGCCCGGGGCUCAACCCCGGGACUGCAUUUGGAACUGUGCUGCUAGAGUGUCGGAGAGGCAGGCGGAAUUCCUAGUGUAGCGGUGAAAUGCAUAGAUAUCGCGCAGAACUCCGAUUGCGAAGGCAGCUCACUGGACUGCAACUGACACUGAGGCUCGAAAGUGUGGGUAUCAAACAGG
rnacentral:rRNA from 1 species